AGAUGGGAGGGAGCUACUCAUGAUGCUCGAAAUUUUGUGGAGGCAUUAAGAAGACCACAUUUAGGGUUUCCACAUCCACCCAAAGAUUCUGGUUAUCCACAAACGAAAAGAUAUUUAGGUCCUUAUAGAGGUGAACGUUACCAUCUUGCUGAUUUUCGACGUGGAAGCCAACCAAGAGGCAUGAAGGAGGUAUUUAAUCACAGACAUUCUUCAUUAAGAUGCACAAUUGAAAGAACAUUUGGUGUUUGGAAGAAUAAAUGGAGAAUUGUUCGGCAAAUGCAUAGCUUUAUCCAUUUGACAAACAGGUAAAAAUUGUUGUUGCUUCAAUGGCUCUUCAUAACUUUAUAAGGGUUCUUUCAAAAACAGAUUUUGAGUUCAAGCCUUAAUGACGACGAUGAGAUGCUACUACCUUCAAUUAAUGAAAUAAAUUAUGAAAGGUCAAUGAAGAGCAUAGAGGUUCAGUUCGUGAAAUGGAGAUGAAUGAAGAACGUGAUCGAAUUGCACAACUUCUCAUGUCUAGUUGAUAUUAUAUUAUUUAAUAAAAAUUAUAAUUAUUAUUAUGUUUUGUUGUUGGAGAUGAAUUAUAGUUUUUUAUAAUUAUGAAUUUAAGUAUCAAGAUA